AGGAAGGUUGCGCGGUUAAGGAAGGAAAUGCAUAAGCGUUCGCGCGGUUUGCGAGUGUUUCGAGAGAAUCGAACGGUAAAAAGUUGGAGAAGAGCACGAGGGAGUUCUAGUUUUAUCCUCGACUUCCGCGAGUCACUGGAACAUUGGUUGAAUAACUUGGUCCGACUCUUCCCGACUCUUCUAUACAAAUAUUCCGCUCAUAAAUAUGUAUACACUGUAAAUCGGGUAUGCGCCAAGACCGUUGGAAGCGUAUCAAAAAACGGAACAAAAGGAUGAUGAAUGAAUUUCAUCGUGUCAGCGGGGCGAAAAGAGGGUUGAACCGCGGCGAAAGAAGAAAGGUGGGCGUGCUCUCGUGAUCUCGCAUUAUCGAAACUUGUACGCGUUACUUAUCCAUCGGCGAUCGGGAACGUUUAUUAAAAGCGGCGAGCUAACACGUUUCUUCGAACCGUCAAUUUUAAAUUCGCGUACGAACGCGGGAUUUUCUCGUAUCGUGCGCAUAUAUAUAAAGCAUAAACAACGAAAAACAUAAAGUUGUUCGCGGUCAACGUUGCAUGCAUACCAAUACUCAAUCACGGGCUAAAUGAAUAAGAGGAAAGAAAUCGACUUUGAAUACGCGAGAGCGACAAGAGGCGAUAAAUUUGAAAAACUAAACAGGUAGAAAAGAGUGGGCAGUUUUAUUCGAAUGAAAGUUAUCUGAAAUCGUAAAAGCUAACUAAAGAAACUUCUAACAAGAGAAUCCUAAAAAAAAAAAAGAUCAAAUCCCGGUUCGUGCAACGGCCGCUCCUUUCUCUCGCGCAAGAGGUAGAAGAAUGAAAAAAGACGGUAAUACGCGUUGCACGCGGUCGAAAAAUCUUGGUGGAGUAGAAAAACACGAAGCAUUAUUUAGACAAGCUGCGCUCUUCGUUGAAAGAAUAACUCUCUCUCUCUUGUUAAAAAAAAAAAUGGGUAUAUUAAGAAAAUUCGUGGCUAAAAUUCAAGGUGGAGGAAAGGAGAGAAAGAAAGGAGAGAAGAAACAAAGGAAGAAAAAAACAUGAGGACAGCGAGUGACUAAAUAUCGAGACAUUAACCGAGCGGUAUGGUGCUCGAAGGUGCACCGAAAGAGGGAACUCGCCUGCUCGAGGUGGACGAGUUAAUUUUAGUUUAAUCGACCGACCUGAUACGAGAAGCUCGUGUACGAGCGUCGGUGCAUGUACGUAAGUAAGCAAUACGUAUCCGCGCACUCGAGAACGAGUCAAAGCACGCCUCUAUACAUACGGAAGGACUUGUUAUGCGUCGCUGGCUUACGUGUAACUUCGACAACCGCUGCUUUUCCCCCCCAUGGAAUUCACUUUCGAGUUUCCCGACACUUGGACACAGCGUUCCCGUCACAAAGUUCAGGAUAGAUAUAGGAAUCUCUAUGCGACUCGAUGCAUCGAUUCCACGCAAUAUCGUCGCAAAUUGAUCAUUCACGGGGAUACGGAAAUUAUUUAUCUCGAUACGGAUCAUUUCACGAACAUUGCUGAAAAAUCGAUGAUGACGACCGUCUACGAACCAUCCCUGCGUUCCCCCACGUAAAUGCGUGGAAAUUGACUGUUUAAGCUUAACCGGAUGAUACUCGUAGUAUAACCGUAGCGGCUGCGAGAGGCUUCCGUUUUAGAGUCAAAGUGCAUUCGGAUCGUUCGUGUAAAUGGAACGGGCGAGGGAGGGUUCGAAGUCGUUCGGAUCGAAAUCAUUCAAUUAAGGUCAGUGGCUACUACGAAACAAUCAUCAGGCCCGGCAUCGGGUGACGAACCCAGAAGAGACGCUUUCCCUUGGUCCUCUCGAACGUUUUUUUUGAUCAUCGAAGGUAUUAUUGACGACCCGCUCGUUAUCGAAAGAGCAUCGUACCUUCGCCGCAUAGCGAAGCGAUGCAACGAGGCUUAGGUAGCGAGAAAUACGGAAGUUAAAUGUCCCCUCGACGAUAAGAAUGUGUAGGGCGUUCUCCAGAGACGAAUCGAAUACAAAUCAGAGGAGGGAAGGUCGAAGUACCUUGGGCGAAUAACGAGUCGCGAGGGUUUGAACGUAUCUAAAUUCGAAUCGGCAAGACUUUUGAAAACGAGGAAAAUGAAAAUAGUUUUUUAUAGUUUUUCCAAAGAUUUGAUACGCACCGAUUCGUAAUUCGAUGUGGUUAAAAAAAGUGGAAAAACUCGCGUAUCUGUUUGAGCGGAGGGGAAAGGAGACAGGAACUGGGGAAGCCGGAAAUCGAGGAAAAAAGGGGGGAAGCAGCAGAAGGGCGAAGCGCUUGCGCGACGAGCUCGUUUCCAUGGCUUCGUUCGUUUCACGUAGCAACAGGAGGACUUUUGACCCCGUUCGAUUGUCCUUCGAAACAACUCGAUGCCUCAUCGUUUUCUCCCGCUUUGUCGGCCGAGAGAAGUGAAACGCAUCGUUGAAUCGCACUUAGGCGUCACUCUUCUUUAACCUCAACGCGUGUAUCGUCUUCGAUAAGAUUCCUCUUAGUUCAACGAUAAUAUUUCACUUCUAUCAUUUAUUCUAACAAUCGUACGUAUAUAUUUGGGGAUGAUCAUCAACGAAAAUAACAAAAAAAAAAAAAAAAAAAAAACAAUUUGAAAUCUGCACAGCUUGAACUACUCAAAAAAAAAAAAUAAAUAAAUAAAUAAAUAAAAGUAAGAUCAAUGAAUUUCGAAAGCGUUGAUCACGAAUGACGCACGAGUUUAAAUUUACGAGCGGAUCGAUGCGCAAAGAAAGCCACGAUACGGACGUUAAGUGGCACGUAUAUGAACAAUGCUUGUCGUCGAACAGAAUAAUUUCGAUAUUGUCUUAUUAUGCUAUAUUUCGAAAUAUAUGCCGUUUUCCCAAUCGUUUUCCCAGCCAAUACACGCAAUUUUACGAACGAACUAUUCUACACAAGGAAGAUAACGCGCAUGGAAGAAAUUUAAUUACAAAUUAUACACGAGUUAUAUAUUCUAAUCUAUGGAUUUUCCUAUAGAUCGAGAAACACAGUGUAGCAGUGGAAACACUGCCAAAUCGCGAUCCGCGCAUCGCAAUCAAAAUCGGUGAAAAUCUCUUCUUGAAUAGAAGAAUGAAAGAAAUUGAAAGGAAUUUUUUAGUCAGAUUCUUCGACUUUUUGUUCGACGACUGUGAAGCAAACACGCUUCUUUUCAACGAAAUAGAACGAAAAAGAUCAUCAAUUCAUACGAGGAAAGGAAAUAUUUUCGCCAAGUGAAUAGUACAGUCUACCAGUCCUCUUAUUUCACAUCGUGCGAGAGCAUACUUUGAUGUGACUCUUUCAUCCAACUUCUUUCUAAUCCACGCUUUUUCCCGCGCUUAGUUUCUACCAUAAGUAUGCGAUUGCAUGUACUUUCACUCCUCUUUUCUUUUUUCUCUAUCAAAUUAAGAAAAGAAAAAAAGAGAAAAGAAAUUAUAGUUCGAGAUGACCUCGUAUUCUUCCUUAGAUUAUUUUUAUCCCCUUUUUCUUGAUAUACAUAUCCACGCAUAAAUGGCAUACCAGUAACUAUCAAACUGAAUAUAAUAUCUACUAAUUUUAAUCAUCCCCAUGGAAAAAACUAAUCGGAAAAAUGGACACUGGUCGUAUGCUCGUGAAAUUCAAUGUUCUAAAUCAGAGUCGCAAGGACGUAUCGACUCGAACGUAGGUCAUGGAAGGGUGCAGACAUUCAGAAGCGGGUCUUUGGUAUGAAGGAACUCGUUUUAUCGUCGCGACUUGAUCGUUUUUUCUUCUUUUUUUCCCCUCCUUCUUAUUCUUUCUUCCAUCAGAAAAUAUUGGUGGUAAAGUAUCGAUACCCAGAUACAGUUCACAAACACGUAAUGGCUACGUAUAAGAGUGCUCAGAUAUUGGUGGUAAAUGUUUCGUGCAAUCAAAUACACUGAUUUUCAUGAUUGCCUGUGAAGGAUCUGGUCGAUUCUCGUACGAUUACGUCGAAGAGCAAAAGCGUGCAAAACGGUCGUUCUAUACGUAAGUGCGGUUACAUCAACUGUAUCUCUGAUUUCUGCUUUCUUUCGUACGAUUUCGUGCUAAUACGAUUGAUUGAAAAGCACUCGUCUCGCGCGUCCGCGUGCUACGUGAUCGCCGCGAUAGUUUCCUUUUCCAAGCGUGAAAUCCAAUGAAACGAACGAUUCGAAGAAAACCUCUGCUUCUCUACCUUUCUGUUCGCUAAUUUUGUAUCUUCCAUGUAUUCGUGACGAGUCGCGUCUAUAUUCGGCAUACACGCUCGCCAAAGAUGCACGAAUUAUCAUGGAAUAAUUCUGGAGAUAUCUCGUACUGAGAUAUGCGAAAUUUGAUCUUUUUUUCUUAUUGAAAAUGAUGAAUAUCUAUAUCGAAAGACAUUCAUGAGAAUGAAAGAACUUUUGAUGUCAAAGACCGAAAGAACGAUACGAUAUUAUUUUAAAAAUAUGUAAUUGUUUUUAUAAAAGAAUAUAAUCGAAGAGUAGGAAGUUAAAAAAAAAAAAAAAAAAAAAAAAACAACUAUCUAUUUCUCUCUUAAUAAAAAGAUAAAAAGAAUAAGUAACGAAGGUAGUAGGAUUAUUAAUAGAUAUUAAAUAAUAUCGAUCGAAUGUAUAAAUAGUGAAUAUCAAAGUGAAUCAAGAAGUUGUACACAUUUAAACGGCAUAGGAACGAAGCUCAUUAGAGAGUAGAUACGUUCCUGGGUCGUACGAUGGCAAAACGUCAGUGGUGGGGAAUAAGAGGGACAGGAGAGGGUUGUGGAGUUUCAGAAAAGAAACUGCCGGCUGAGCUGGAAACGAACGCGAGGUAAGGUGAAGGGGGACACGACAGCACGCCACUUGAAGUCACCGUGACUGCAUGUGUUACUAUGCUACGGUAUCGCCCUCGACGGUGAUCGAGGAAACGAUGAUGAACCGUAUUGUCGUGCUCUACAAUUUUACUUCGAAGAGGGCGACUAUAUCGCCAUGUUACACG